AUCUUUGGCAUAUAUACCUUUUGCACUAUUCAUUUUACAUGCUGCUACUUAAGAUGGAAACCCUUGCUCUUAUUAUUUUCAUAGCUUCCACAAAAAUUCUAAAGAUAGCUUUUAAUCCUGCAUAUUUCUGUUGUCUUCUUCAUAUAUCGUACUGUGGUAAAAAAAUGGGUAGAAGUCAUUUGCCCUAAUAUUUCUAUUUUGUUAUUUCUCGAUCUUGGGGGGGUGUUUUAAUCCUUUUCAACUGACAAUUUUUAUUUUUCUGUUUCUGUGUAUAUGUUCUGCAUCUCUAUUGUGACGCGAUUUCUAACGGGUACGAUGAUGGUGAUCCUAUAUACAGAGAUGAUCAAUCAUACAUGGUGGAUAAUGUAUUAAAUUAUGAUCCUGAUAAACCUGCAAAGAUGGGAGCUGGAUUAAAGUUUAUCAUGGGGUUGACAUGAGAUCGGAUUUUUGGGGAAUUCAUUCAUUUCCCCACCAACUGACCUCGCUUUGGAACUCGAUUUCGAAUCCCCCUACUUAAUGCCUUGAUGAUAGAUUGUGAUAUUGUAACUUAAAUUUUUGUUAAUAAUAGUUCUAAAAAUGAAAUCUGGCUUAUAGCCUCCUUAGUUGUUUUAGAUCUGGCUUCAUUUAGAAUUAUUUAGUACUCUUUAAUUGUAAAUGGGUAUAAUUUUUGAACAUUUGAUUUAAAAUGACUCAAUUUCUAGCUUUACUGUUUGCCAAGUAUUA